rnacentral:piRNA from 1 species
UAAGAAAUCGGUCAGCUUUGAAUAUCUCGG